GAAAAAGCAGGGAUCUGUUGCCGUUUGUGAACAGUUCUCUCGUAAACGUCAGGGAUAUUAAAUGGCAAUGUUAUUGGGUGAACCUAUUGAGUUUUUUCGAUGAUUGAUGGUUCAGUAAACAAUGCAACAUUU
rnacentral:snoRNA from 1 species